rnacentral:lncRNA from 1 species
AUCACUAGUGGUGCCUUAACAGGAGCCAUCCUGGCAGCAAGAACUGGACCGGUAGCCAUGGUUGGGUCAGCUGCGAUGGGCGGCAUUCUCCUAGCUUUAAUUGAAGGAGCUGGUAUCCUGUUGACCAGGUUUGCCUCGGCACAGUUUCCUAAUGGCCCUCAGUUUGCUGAAGACCACUCCCAGUUGCCUUCAAGCCAGUUGCCGUCCUCACCGUUUGGAGACUACCGACAGUAUCAGUAGGACUUGGUCCCCAGGAUUCCUGGACCUGGGUGGACUGCAGUUUGGUAGGGUUUCAGAAGAUCAAGUUACAGUCUGUUGAAAGGCUUAGGUGGGACACCGGUGGCCUAGCGGGACAUCAAGAGGCAUUUAGCACAUUUUUCUAUUUGAAAGAGACUCAGAGGGUGGAAAAGAUACCGAGUUUAUUUAUUCAUGCUUGGAUUGCAUCUGUGAUCAAAAUAAAUGUCUAAUAUCAUUUAAAGAAUGUAUAUGAACUUAGAAGAUAAAGGACCAAAGGCCACAUAACAGUGAAACGCGACUGUCCUUCCUUCGGGACUUCUCUGCCUGGUGCUUAUGUACAGUUGUUCAGACAAUAAAAGGCUUCUGGGACUUGAAAAAAAAAGAAAUGUAAAUAAAAAAUCCAA